AUUGAACGCUGGCGGCAGGCCUAACACAUGCAAGUCGAGCGAGUGGCGGACGGGUGAGUAAUGUAUGGGGAACUGCCUGAUGGAGGGGGAUAACUACUGGAAACGGUAGCUAAUACCGCAUACCAUCAGAUGAACCCAUAUGGGAUUAGCUUGUAGGUAAGGUAACGGCUUACCAAGGCGACGCUCCCUAGCUGGUCUGAGAGGAUGAGCAGCCACACUGGAACUGAGACACGGCCCAGCCUCCUCCGGGCGGCAGCAGUGGGGAAUAUUGCACAAGGGGCGCAAGCCUGAUGCAGCCAUGCCGCGUGUAUGAAGAAGGCCUUCGGGUUGUAAAGUACUUUCAGUCGGGAGGCGUUACCGACAGAAGAAGCACCGGCUAACUCCGUGCCAGCAGCCGCGGUAAUUC
rnacentral:rRNA from 1 species